rnacentral:rRNA from 1 species
AUGCCAGCCCCAACCUACCUAUCUCCUCCCUCCCUCCCCCUCCGCCACACCACCACCGCCACCGCCAGCGCGCACCUCCUCUCCGGUGGCCGCCGCAACCGUGGCAGCCGCCCACGGCGCAUGUCAGGUCUCGUGCUACUUAAAGCCAAGGUCGGCGAUGUCGACGGAGGGCCCGAGCUCCUCCUGGCUUCGCGGCGACACGCCGUCCUCGGCGUGGCCAGGGUCCUCUUCGCGGCGGCGAACGAGCGGUGCCUGCGGGGCAUGGACCGGGCGGCGCUCGGGCGCGGGGGCUUCUUCGCGGGGGCCAUGGCCAACUCGUGGAGGGUGCUCAUGCAGGGGCUCGCGUCGCUCAUGUUCCUCUGCGCGCGCGCCGACGAGUAUGUCCGGCAGCCGCCGAGCCCGCUUGUGCUCACGCCCCACGACAAGCCGGCCGCUCAUCCUCAGCAGGUGCACAUUUCAACUGUGGGAAGGAACAAGAUGAGGAUUUCAUGGGUCACUGACGACCGGAACACGCCGUCGGUGGUGGAGUACGGCGAAUCUCGGGGCAACUACACCGCGUCAGCGACGGGCGACCAGGCGACGUACAAAUACUUCUUCUACGAGUCCGGCGCGAUCCACCACGUGACGAUCGGCCCGCUGGCGCCCGGCACAACCUACCACUACCGGUGCGGCAAGGCCGGCGACGAGCUCACCCUCCGGACCCCUCCGGCGUCCCUCCCGCUCGAGCUCGUCGUCAUCGGCGACCUCGGGCAGACCCGGUGGACGGCGUCGACGCUGGCGCACAUCGGCGGCGCGGACUACGACAUGCUGCUGCUCCCGGGCGACCUGUCGUACGCGGACACGCAGCAGCCGCUGUGGGACUCGUUCGGGCGGCUGGUGCAGCCGCUGGCGAGCGCGCGGCCGUGGAUGGUGACGGAGGGCAACCACGAGGCGGAGGCGCUCCCCGUCGUCGGCUUCGCGCCCUUCGUCGCCUACAACGCGCGGUGGCGGAUGCCGCACGAGGAGAGUGGCUCCGCCUCCAACCUCUACUACUCGUUCGACGCGGCCGGCGGCGCGGCGCACGUCGUGAUGCUGGGCUCCUACGCCGAGUUCGAGGAGGGGUCGGCGCAGCGCGCGUGGCUGGAGCGGGACCUCGCCGGCGUGGACCGGCGGAGGACGCCGUGGCUGCUGGUGCUGCUGCACGCGCCGUGGUACAACACCAACCAGGCCCACCAGGGGGAGGGCGAGGCGAUGCGCGCCGCCAUGGAGGCGCUCCUCUACGAGGCCCGCGUCGACGUCGUCUUCUCCGGCCACGUCCACGCCUACGAGCGAUUCACGAGGAUCUACGACAACGAGGCCGACGGCCGGGGCCCGAUGUACAUAACCAUCGGCGACGGCGGCAACAGAGAAGGGCUUGCUCUCAAGUUCCUGGAGGAUCACAAGUCGGCGCACCUGUCGGUGUUCCAGGAGGCGAGCUUUGGGCACGGCCGGCUGAGGAUCGUGGACGAGACGAGCGCCGUCUGGACGUGGCACCGCAACGACGACGAAUACGCCACCGUCCGCGACGAGGUCUGGUUGGAGAGCUUGGCUAGUCCAAAGCUAUCCAUGGCAGCCGCCGGUCGUCAGGACGAGGAGUUGUAG